UUUAAAGCCCUUUGAGGGUAGAAAGUGCUGCUCCAUUCCAUUACAAUCUAACGUUAUCCUACUGCUAAUUAUUAAGUAGCUGCAUGCUAACACCAGAUAGCUGUAAUCUUGGCAGCCAAUUUUAAUGCUGCACAUUACUGCCAGAACGUGUCUGGUUGAGUAGUAUUUGGUUCAGAAGCCUUUAGUGGUGAUUUUUCACAGUACAAAGCCCUGCUAUAUACUCCAGAGACAGCGAGCGC